GCGCACCAGUCGCGAAACCUUCGCAAUGCAGGAAACUGCGACGAGGGAACUCCAAGUGCCUACGCUCAGCGUAGGCUGUUCUCAAGCCUAGAAAGCUUGAGGAGUAAGGGCUGGGUAAGACGGGUGCCACCUGUGGUAGGCAGUCAAUAGAUUCGAUUUGUUACUGCAAGGCAUAAAGGCCGCCGUCGGUAAUACCCGCAG
rnacentral:rRNA from 1 species